GACGAACGCUGGCGGCGUGCUUAACACAUGCAAGUCGAACGAAGAGCGAUGGAAGCUUUCUUCUAUCAAUCUUCGUGGCGCACGGGUGUGUAACGCGUAAUCAACCUGCCCUUCAGAGGGGGACAACAGUUGGAAACGACUGCUAAUACCACAUACGAUUUAACCUCGGCAUCGAGGAUGGAUGAAAGGUGGCCUCUAUUUAUAAGCUAUCACUGCAGGAUGGGAUUGCGUCUGAUUAGCUAGUUGGCGGGGUAACGGCCCACCAAGGCGAUGAUCAGUAGCCGGUCUGAGAGGAUGAACGGCCACAUUGGGACUGAGACACGGCCCAGACUCCUACGGGAGGCAGCAGUGGGGAAUCUUCCGCAAUGGACGAAAGUCUGACGGAGCAACGCCGCGGGAGUGAUGACGGCCUUCGGGUUGUAAAGCUCUGUUAAUCGGGACGAAAGGCCUUCUGGCGAAUAGGUAGAAGGAUUGACGGUACCGGAAGAGAAAGCCACGGCUAACUACGUG
rnacentral:rRNA from 1 species